AGUGAACGCUGGCGGUAGGCCUAACACAUGCAAGUCGAACGGCAGCACAGUAAGAGCUUGCUCUUACGGGUGGCGAGUGGCGGACGGGUGAGGAAUACAUCGGAAUCUACUUUUUCGUGGGGGAUAACGUAGGGAAACUUACGCUAAUACCGCAUACGACCUACGGGUGAAAGCAGGGGAUCUUCGGACCUUGCGCGAUUGAAUGCGCCGAUGUCGGAUUAGCUAGUUGGCGGGGUAAAGGCCCACCAAGGCGACGAUCCGUAGCUGGUCUGAGAGGAUGAUCAGCGACACGGGAACUGAGACACGGUCCAGACUCCUACGGGAGGCAGCAGUGGGGAAUAUUGGACAAUGGGCGCAAGCCUGAUCCAGCCAUACCGCGUGGGUGAAGAAGGCCUUCGGGUUGUAAAGCCCUUUUGUUGGGAAAGAAAAGCAGCAGGUUAAUACCCCGCUGUUCUGACGGUACCCAAAGAAUAAGCACCGGCUAACUUCGUG
rnacentral:rRNA from 1 species